AGAGGUUGGUAGAUAGUGUGAGUUUAUUUGCUUGAACUAAGAAAUAAUAUAUAUGAAUACCUCAAUACAGAUGCUAAAAAAAGUUGAAUACAAAUGAAUACAGAAAAAAGAGGAAUACACUGUAAUACAGGUGAAUACAACUGUAUUCAGCUUAUGGACUACAGUUGAAUUCAACUGACAUUGAAUGAAUACAACUAAUUCAAUUCCUUAAUAUAGGUGAAUACAACAUGUAGAAUAGUUGAAUAUAGGUUAAUAACACAGUUCAAUUCAACUGACUUUGGUAGAAUACACUAUAAUACAGUUGAAUACAGAUCUGGACAGCUGGUUGAAACAGUUGAAUUUAACUGCCAUUGGAUGAAUACAGGUAAUUCAAUUGUUCAAUACAGUUGAAUACAACAGUUUCAAUAAAGUUAACUAUAGGUUAAUAAUACAGU
rnacentral:lncRNA from 1 species